rnacentral:rRNA from 1 species
UACGUAGGGUGCAAGCGUUGUCCGGAAUUAUUGGGCGUAAAGAGCUCGUAGGCGGUUUGUCGCGUCGGGAGUGAAAACCUGGGGCUUAACCCCGGGCCUGCUUUCGAUACGGGCAGACUAGAGUUCGGCAGGGGAGACUGGAAUUCCUGGUGUAGCGGUGAAAUGCGCAGAUAUCAGGAGGAACACCGGUGGCGAAGGCGGGUCUCUGGGCCGAUACUGACGCUGAGGAGCGAAAGCGUGGGGAGCGAACAGG